rnacentral:rRNA from 1 species
CAGUCGCCGCGGGAAUACGAAGGGUGCAAGCGUUAAUCGGAAUUACUGGGCGUAAAGCGUGCGCAGGCGGUCCGCUAAGACAGAUGUGAAAUCCCCGGGCUUAACCUGGGAACUGCGUUUGUGGCUGGCGGGCUAGAGUAUGGCAGAGGGGGGUAGAAUUCCACGUGUAGCAGUGAAAUGCGUAGAGAUGUGGAGGAAUACCGAUGGCGAAGGCAGCCCCCUAGGCCAAUACUGACGCUCAUGCACGAAAGCGUGGGGAGCAAACAGGAUUAGAUACCCCUGUAGUCCCUGUCUCUUAUAC